AGAGUUAAAUAGUACGUGAAAUUGUUGAAAGGGAAACGAUUGAAGUCAGUCAUGCCGGUGAGAAUCAACUUUGGGGAAGGGGGAUUUUUUUGAACCUAACCUUGAAGUGCACUUCUUCGCUUGGCAGGUUAGCGUCGAUUUUGAACGUCAUAAAAUGAUUGGGGGAAGGUAGCUCUUUCGGGAGUGUUAUAGCCCUUAAUUAAUGUGAUAUUUGGGAUCGAGGAUUGCAACGGAUACCUUUUUUUAGGCUAGCCGCCUGGCCUCUGAUUCGAUGUUGGGUUAUAGACAGCACGCUGACUAUGAUCUGAUUAUUGGUCAAAAGGUUAGAGCGAGCAUAAAUUCGUUAAGGACGCUGACGUAAUGGCUUUAAACGACC
rnacentral:misc_RNA from 1 species